AGGCUUAACACAUGCAAGUCGAGGGGCAGCAUGGUCUUAGCUUGCUAAGGCCGAUGGCGACCGGCGCACGGGUGAGUAACACGUAUCCAACCUGCCGUCUACUCUUGGACAGCCUUCUGAAAGGAAGAUUAAUACAAGAUGGCAUCAUGAGUCCGCAUGUUCACAUGAUUAAAGGUAUUCCGGUAGACGAUGGGGAUGCGUUCCAUUAGAUAGUAGGCGGGGUAACGGCCCACCUAGUCUUCGAUGGAUAGGGGUUCUGAGAGGAAGGUCCCCCACAUUGGAACUGAGACACGGUCCAAACUCCUACGGGAGGCAGCAGUGAGGAAUAUUGGUCAAUGGGCGAGAGCCUGAACCAGCCAAGUAGCGUGAAGGAUGACUGCCCUAUGGGUUGUAAACUUCUUUUAUAAAGGAAUAAAGUCGGGUAUGGAUACCCGUUUGCAUGUACUUUAUGAAUAAGGAUCGGCUAACUCCGUGCCAGCAGCCGCGGUAAUACGGAGGAUCCGAGCGUUAUCCGGAUUUAUUGGGUUUAAAGGGAGCGUAGAUGGAUGUUUAAGUCAGUUGUGAAAGUUUGCGGCUCAACCGUAAAAUUGCAGUUGAUACUGGAUAUCUUGAGUGCAGUUGAGGCAGGCAGAAUUCGUGGUGUAGCGGUGAAAUGCUUAGAUAUCACGAAGAACUCCGAUUGCGAAGGCAGCCUGCUAAGCUGCAACUGACAUUGAGGCUCGAAAGUGUGGGUAUCAAACAAGAUUAGAUACCCUGGUAGUCCACACGGUAAACGAUGAAUACUCGCUGUUUGCGAUAUACUGCAAGCGGCCAAGCGAAAGCGUUAAGUAUUCCACCUGGGGAGUACGCCGGCAACGGUGAAACUCAAAGGAAUUGACGGGGGCCCGCACAAGCGGAGGAACAUGUGGUUUAAUUCGAUGAUACGCGAGGAACCUUACCCGGGCUUAAAUUGCAGAUGAAUUACGGUGAAAGCCGUAAGCCGCAAGGCAUCUGUGAAGGUGCUGCAUGGUUGUCGUCAGCUCGUGCCGUGAGGUGUCGGCUUAAGUGCCAUAACGAGCGCAACCCUUGUUGUCAGUUACUAACAGGUUCCGCUGAGGACUCUGACAAGACUGCCAUCGUAAGAUGUGAGGAAGGUGGGGAUGACGUCAAAUCAGCACGGCCCUUACGUCCGGGGCUACACACGUGUUACAAUGGGGGGUACAGAGGGCCGCUACCACGCGAGUGGAUGCCAAUCCCCAAAACCUCUCUCAGUUCGGACUGGAGUCUGCAACCCGACUCCACGAAGCUGGAUUCGCUAGUAAUCGCGCAUCAGCCACGGCGCGGUGAAUACGUUCCCGGGCCUUGUACACACCGCCCGUCAAGCCAUGGGAGCCGGGGGUACCUGAAGUGCGUAACCGCGAGGAGCGCCCUAGGGUAAAACUGGUGACUGGGGCUAAGUCA
rnacentral:rRNA from 1 species